UAUUUAGCUGUGAAUAAGGAUUAGUAAUAUUUACAUCACUAAAGAGAGCUAUUGUCAGGUGAAAAAUAGUGUGAUAUUAAAAUAUGAACUCACCUUACGAGUUUACCUGAAAAAAUCAGGUACGGCAGGAAACCGUUAUUAUUUAAGGGAAAUCAUUAUUGAUUUAAUUAGAGUGGUACCGCGAAAAUUAAACUUUUCGUCUCUUAG
rnacentral:ncRNA from 1 species